rnacentral:rRNA from 1 species
UACGGAGGGUGCAAGCGUUAUCCGGAUUCACUGGGUUUAAAGGGUGCGUAGUCGGGUAAGUAAGUCCGUGGUGAAAUCUCUGAGCUUAACUCAGAAACUGCCGUGGAUACUAUUUGCCUUGAAUAUUGUGGAGGUGAGCGGAAUAUGUCAUGUAGCGGUGAAAUGCUUAGAUAUGACAUAGAACACCAAUUGCGAAGGCAGCUCACUACACAAUCAUUGACGCUGAGGCACGAAAGCGUGGGGAUCAAACAGG